UUUCGUUAAAGCACAUACUGCUGAGACAAAAAUUACAUCUUUAUUAACUUUUUAUUAGACUGAACUGGACAAACCUUUUAUUAGAGACGAUUACCGCGAACUGGUUGAACUAUGCGUUGUGUUCUUAGGAGGAGAUACAGAGAUAAAACUAAAACUCAGACCCCCAGGAGCUUUACAUCAAGCGCGAURGAUGGCGAGAGCGAUCUAUUCUAUAAAAAUAUUUUUACUUCAAUCGCAACUGCAAACUACUGCAAAGGACAAAAAUUCCCUACAAGAUGUUUGCUUAUUUAUCGUCACCUUGUAUACUAAACCUUGGCUCGAAUGCACAGUGGCAAUUAAAGCACCUAACCAAUACUUGUGCUUUUUGAAAGUUCUAAAAGAAUAUGAAAAAUUACACUCGACAAGUUCCAAGGCAUCCAUAAGCAAAUAAGACGCUGUGUGAUUUUGUGACGGAAAGAAGCAAGCAAUUUCUAAUUCGGCUGCAGAUCGACGACAGUUUUUUUGGGGGAAGAUAUAUUUUGUUGGGAUAAUAAUCCUGGUUUUUUGGAAGCUAGAAGAUAAAUACAUAAGUCGUUUGAAGGUCGUAAAUGCCACUGCUGAAAGAGGUGUUAAAUUAAUGCAAGAUUUAAAUGGACUUAUCACGGCUGAAGAAGAGCAACAGUUUUGGUUGCGUUAUGCCCAGAAACAAAGAAAUCUUUAUCCAGACUCUAAAAAAACUACACCAAGAGAAGCCACCCUAAUUAAUUAUUAUUAUAAUUUAUGUUUAAAUUAAAGUUUUUGUUAAUCCUUUUAA